UACAUAUUGUACUGAGCUACAUCUAGGUGU
rnacentral:piRNA from 1 species